CGCCCGCCCCCGCCUCCGCCGCACCCCCCGGGGCGGGCGCCGGGCCGCGGUGACCGCCGGCUGGUGCGCUGCCCUCGCCUCCCCCAUUGUUCCUACUGUCUUUUUGCCUUUUGUUAUUUGCACUCGCAUUGUGUUGUUUGUCUCUGAAGCCGCCUCAUGACCAGCAAAGGGAUUUCACCUCGUCCUUGAGAGCCACACGGGGAGCGCGAGCGAGCGAGAGACGGGGGGAGAGGGACACGCGCGCGCGCACACACACAGACACACACACACACAGACACACACACACACACAGAGUGAAAAAGGCGAGCGACCAAAACCCAUCUCCAGUCUCCUCCCGGGGGCCCCCAGCCCGCCACUGUGCCACUUUGCAUCCCACGCCAGAGGAGACAUUAAGGAGACCCGGUAAGGCUUUUUAAUCAGUCCAUGGUGUGAAGACACACUUCAAGAGGAUCCUUAAAAGUCUUGGACAAGCCUCCCCGCAUGUGGCAGGUAUGUCUCUGUCUAUGCACCGAGUGUGCAAGAAAUAUAACUUUCUUUAUUCUUCGAUGGCUAAAUCUAAAUUAUAUUUAGAUCCUUCAUUUAGUCAUGUAGCCUCAAUCUGAUGUUGCCCCUAAAUUCUGGAUGAGUUUUUAAGGUACCAAGCUCUUGAGGGGUGAUAUACUUUCUCCUUGGCUGUCAUCUCUUCAUUAGCCACAUCUGUCCUCUCAUCUCUUGUCAGGACUUAUGGGCCACUGCUGAAGCGUACCUUGAUCUUCCUUCUGCUCUCCUUCUCUUAGCUUCUUCCAGGUA
rnacentral:lncRNA from 1 species